AAAGUGACAGCAGAGAAGUUGAUUUAAUCUUCCACGGAAGCCUGUAACAUGUAGCUGCAAAGAAAGGGGGUGACACUAAGAGGUGAACAACGAACAGAGUAGAAGGACCUAAUUAAACCAAGUUUGUACAUGUGCUCGCCCAUCUGACAUGCGUGUGUUUCUGAUCUUACCCGUUUUCUGGAACAGGAGAAUGUUUCCUGUUUAAGCAGACGCGUGGGUUCACGGAGGAGUCGGGGGGUCGGGUUCCUCCGCCGACGUCUGGUUCUGCUGAAGCAGAUUCCCCACAUCCCCAUCAAACAGCAGCCCUGAAAACUGACCCUGUGACUACUGGUCAUGGACAAGAACCCCUAUGUGGCCCUGGAGACAGAUGGACAGAUAUUAGCAAAUUUAUGUCUUUGGUAGAACAGGGUCAUCUGCUGACAUGAGCAGUAAAAAACCUGUGUUGAUGUUCCACCUGAAAUGUGAUCUACGAGAUGGAUGGGCUGCAGUGUGUGUGUGUGUGUCUGCUCUGCCUUGUCCAGACCGGUUCCUGUCUUGCUAAUAAAAGAGAUCUCUCUUUAGUUUUGGAUACUGAUCUCUUCACACACAAGUUUAAGGAUCUCAU